UGUACCUUCAAUUUCUGGGUGCAGAGUUGUGCAUCUGUUCAUUAGAUAAAGUUUAUAAAUCAUAUUUUUCAAAUAUAUGUUCAUAUCAAUUAAUUAUUCAUCUACUUUAUCAAUUAAUUAUGGGAAGAGGUGGGCUAAAAUGUCCAACUCUGAUGGAAUUUCUCUAUGUGUUUAAAUAUUUUGUUUUUUGUGCGGGGCUAUGUUUUUAAGCUCAUACAAGUUCAUCUUUGUUAUAUUUUCCUAUAAACUUUUCCCGUUAGCAAUAUAUAAGUAAUCCUUUUGCUUAUCAUUAUGCUGCUGGAAUGUAUAUUUUAUUAAUAAGGCUUCAAUAGCUUUGCUUGGUAGUCUUUUUUUUAAUCUAUCAUUUUCUAUCUCUUUAUUGUAUUCACUGUAUUUUGAUGUCUCUUAUAAACAUUGCAAUGGUUUGUUAAAAAUCUUAUCAAACAGUAAUGACUUUCACUUUUACCUAUACGAAACAUAAAGCUAAAAGACUGGACAAAAUAUGUGAAGCAAUGAUUUCCAAACAGUGGACUUUGGACAUUGACAGUGCAAGCCUUCAAUCCCUAACAGAAGAGAAUCUCAUGAGAUGACUCCCACUUCAUGCUAGCUCUGUGCCUGGAGAAAAUUUUCUGAGCAGAGCACAAAGAGGUAGAAUGAAACCAGAAAGAAAACUGUGGCCCUACUCAGCUGAGGAAGAAGAGGUCAGAGUUCUGGAAUCAGAAAGAGUAAGUAGGAAGGGUGCUGCACCUAAGGACUUUAGAUCGUUGGUUUGGGACUGGGCCUCACACAUGUAAUGUGAGGCUGUUGAGACUGAGGAGGACUGCUUCAUGGUCAAGAUCAGAAGGAAUAUGCUAGAGUUCAAGCCACCGUGCAAGAUCUGUUAGCAACUCCUUAGGUGAAUUGUGAAAGACGGCCAGGGCCUAUAUUUGGAGUGCAAGAGUUCUUGAAGUUUCUGCAUGCCCUGGAAGUAAUGUGGAUGUGGUAAGAGAACUGGAAGAGACCAGAGAUCAGGAAGCAGAGGCUGAAGAGUGAGCAGAACACCAGCACUAGAGGCCACAGCUAAGAGCUCAGCAGGGGAGAAGUAUAGAACCUGAGAGAAUAGAUGAACUCAGCAGUGCCUUGUGGUAUGAACACAGGCUCAGCAUGUUUGUGACCAAAUGGGUGCAACCAGACCACAGCAGGGGUCACCAGGACAGGGGAGGGUGGCAGACCAGGUGCUACUUCAUGCAGCUGGUCACUGAGCCUGCUUGAGACAUUAAAUCUGAGAAGACAAGUAGAAAGAAGAAAAAGGUGAAGACUGUAUGUAUUCAAUAGGCACUUAUUUAACCAGGGAAAUGAGUAUAGAAUUUAAUUGGAAAAACUAAUAAAUGUAAAAUGGCAAGCAAAAGAGGCAGAAGGCCCUGUGAGGUGGUCCUAAUGAGUCAGUCCAGUUAAGUUACAGAGAAAUAAAUUUACAGUUUUCUGAAUCAGAAUCACAGUGGGUCCACUUUGACCUCUCCACUCUAGAUUGCCUCAAACCAACUCUGUAUUUCAUGGUGUGGUACCCAGAUUUUUGUUGUUAACAAUAGGGACUAUCUGGAAGUUUCCUAUUUUAACUGUUUUUUUAAUUGAUGUGGAAUUUAACUUAGAUGUUAAGUUCCAAAAUUAAUAAAACUUCAUUCACUAA